GAUCCUGGCUCAAGGACGAACGCUGGCGGCAUGCCUAACACAUGCAAGUCGAACGAGAGUAGCAAUACUCGAGUGGCGAACGGGUGAGUAACACGUGAGCAACCUGCCUUACACAACGGGAUACCUACUGGAAACAGUAGUUAAUACGGUAUAAGACCACAGUACCGCAUGAUACAGUGGUAAAAAGAUUUAUCGGUGUAAGAUGGGGCUCGCGGCGCAUUAGCUAGUUGGAGAGGUAACGGCUCUCCAAGGCGACGAUGCGUAGCCGACCUGAGAGGGUGAUCGGCCACAUUGGGACUGAGAUACGGCCCAGACUCCUACGGGAGGCAGCAGUGGGGAAUAUUGGGCAAUGGAGGAAACUCUUACCCAGCAAUGCCGCGUGAAUGAUGAAGGUCGUAAGAUUGUAAAGUUCUUUAGUCAGGGACAAAGAAAGUGAUGGUACCUGAAGAAUAAGCUCCGGCUAACUACGUGCCAGCCGCAGC
rnacentral:rRNA from 1 species